GCUGGUUUGAUGUCCCAUAUAGAGAGGUGGCACAGCCAGGGCUGGGUAUCCCAGUCCCGUGUCGUGUCCAGCAUUUUAGUGCAGACUCACAUGCACAUCAAAUGCACAACCAUGCAAUGACAGACAAGCAGCUCCACAGGAGGAGUGCACAACCAGAGGGGAGAGGAGAGAGCCUGGACAGCCUCUGUCCUCACCUCCUCAGUGGCCAUGUGGUGACGGCUGGGUUUUUUAUUUUUUUCUCCCUAGAUGAGCUUCACAUCUCAGGUCUUCUGCUCAACUCAGGUACCAGCUGACACCCACCCAGUCCCUGGUGUUGCCUUCAGGAGCAGUGGCAAGAUGGGAGCUGGUUGGGGAAGGGGAUCCUAGCGCAGGGGGGAGGAGGAGAGAAUGGAAUGGCUGGACUUUGAGAUGAGAAGACAGUUGGAUGGGGAGGAGGCACCAUUUGCUGGAACUGAAGGGUUCUCAGUAGGGGCUCGAGGCAGGAUGUAUCUGUGAUAUCUGGACCUCUGGAGUCCCUUAAGCACAAGGAGGCAAGUGUGUGGCAGUGAAGACAUUCUGCCUUGGGCCCAAGCCCAAGACAGGUCUCCCUGAGCCCUGGGCAGACCAUCCGACCUAUGGUCAUUGGAAGGACCCACCUCCUCCCUAUCCCAGGCCUGUGUAAACGCCAGGAAGGCAGGUCCCUUUCUCCAUGCAGGCCCUGACUGGGGCAGUCAGCACCAUUAAGUUCUUCCUCUCUGAGGCUUUCCUGGGUCAACACUUCGAGGCUGUGUAGUUGGAGGGCAGGGAGCCUGAGCCAGGAGACGUCUUCCUGUUCAGGCUGAUUCCCCCCACCUGACGCUGGUGCGGGGCCCACGUUGGCAUAUACUGUGGCCAUGGAGAGAUCAUCCACUUUGAGGGCAAGAACUCAGGAGGCUGUGGGCUCCUGGGAAGUUUCUGGGCUCCUGGAAAGGCAUCGUAUCCAAACAGGGGCAGCGCCCGCUGCUGCGCUCCUGCUGGCGCGUGCUGCGCAGAGUGAGCGAAGCGACGGACGCGGACCCACCAUCCUAUCACUCCAUGCGCAGCAACUGUGUGCACUUUGCACUGUGUCUGCUCGUCCCAGGUCCCAGCCUGGACCCCCGGCAAAUAGACGGGAGCUCCAGCAGGUGUCAAUGGACGUGGACGUGUCCCCGGAUUAAGCAUGACCUUGGCCCUCCUGGGUGGACGUGGAGGCUUCAGAAAGAUUCAUUAAACUACUUUCCAAAGCUUAA
rnacentral:lncRNA from 10 species